rnacentral:rRNA from 1 species
UACCUUAAGAUCAACCAAUUUAAGGCAAGCCCUGCCCAGUGAAUACCAUUAAACGGCCGCGGUAUCCUAACCGUGCAAAGGUAGCAUAAUAACUUGCCUAUUAAUUAUAGGAUAGAAUGAACGGGUAAACGAAAUAGAACCUGUCUCGAUUAGUUAAAUGAAAAUUAUUCUUUAGUUGAAGAAAACUAAAUAAAACUGAAGGACAAGAAGACCCUAUAGAGCUUCAUUUUCACACCUAAAGAAAGCUCAUAAAAUUCGGUUGGGGCGACCAAUGCUACAACAAUCAUCAAUAACCAACAAGAUAAAUCCAUCCCAAAAAAGACCCUAUAUUAGAUCAAAAAAACAAGCUACCUUAGGGAUAACAGGCUAAUCUCAUUAAUGAGUUCUUAUCUAUAAUGUUAGUUGGCACCUCGAUGUUGGCUUAGGGAAUCAAGGCGGCGCAGAAGCUGCUUAAGACGGUUUGUUCAACCAUUAAACCCCUA